GGGGCGGCUGCAGGGUCCGCAAAGCCGGCUGUUUGCGAAGGGCGCAGCUCCACCUGGAACAGCCGAGGCCGCCCACGCGCUUCCCGCGGGAUCAGAGCAGCCUCCACGGCUGUUGUCUCAGGCACCACGGGAUGCCUUUCUUCGUUUCAAUAGCUGUGGGAAAGCCUCAAUCGGUCCUGAAAGAACCCAGAUGUGCAGCAAUGACAAGGCCUUCUCUGAGACUCUAGAACCUUCUGCCAUCUCAGACAGGAGGGAGCCGUGAGGCAGGCGGGAGAUUUGCAGUCAGCAAAGGACGGGCAGAUAGCAAAACUAAGUGUCAAAAGCACCUUCUGCACACAGUCUGCACACACUGGCCGGUGGUCCUGUUCCCGCAAGGUUGAGCUGUGUUCCAGAGACAUGGGUCCUCCGGGUGAUGAGGAGCCGCUGGAGGGCCCUGAGCUGCACGUGCUAAUGAUUAACGCCCCGUCCGUGCUGGCCGGUUUCUCAAAUGCCUCCUGACGAUUGCGCACAGCCGGACAUCAUUUGUACUGAGAGACAAAAGGAAAUCACUGAGGCUUUCUGAGGUGAGCUGGGCGGCCGCGGGGGGACUGGACUCACACCUGCUAACGGCCAGUCCACAGGACCUGCCCAGAGGCUCGGACACACAGCUGAAGUCACAUCCCACGGGGAGCAUCCUCACCAACUGACAAUCAGCACGGGUUUGUAAUUAAGGGUUUCUGCCCAGCCAAUGAACGGCCUCCAGAAACAACCUUUGUGGAACCCCCUAUAAAAGCCUUCCCAGCGCUUGCCUUCAGGACACUGCUCAGGGCUGACUCAGUGUACCCAAGCUGCAGUCUUUGUUUCCCAAAUAAGCAGUCAUUCAUUCUACCUCCGUGUCAAUCUUUUCUUCGUGAACACAGCUGGUGUCAGGAGCAGGGCUUAGCAAGAUCUCUCCUUUGAGCGGCUUUCUCUGGAAUCGGGUGAAGUCCCCACAACACAGAGGCCCCUGUGCGCGCCCCUUCUUUGGGGCCAGCACCUCCCUUCAACUGAGGCUGAUACCUUUAUUUGGGAAUCUGGGGGCAGUUGCUGCCUCUGUGCCGGCAAAGGCUUUCAGCUUGGAGGACGUUUUCCCUGCUUACUGGAGAUUUUCCCAAUGGUGUCCAUGUCACUGUUCCUCUAGCAGAUGUGGAAAGUGGCUGCUCAGUGAGGACUCAGCCCCCACCAACCUGACUGAGGGUCACACGACACCAUGGUGGAAAGUCACAAAGGGUAACGGGCCAAGAGGGUGAGGGGGGCUCCCUGACCCUGAGGACCCCUGAGGCACUGCUGCACCUUCCACGGAUUCUGUGUCUAGCGUUGCCCUCUUUGCAGAUGCCCCUCGUGGUGGUGGCACAAAGACCUAAAAAUGAUUUCUGUAAAAUGGGUACAAGGAGCUCCCUGAUAAAGCAGCUCAUCCUAGACAG
ensembl:lncRNA LINC00334 long intergenic non-protein coding RNA 334